UUUAAAGUCUGGCCUGCCCAAUGAAUUUUAAAUGGCUGCAGUAUUUUAACUGUACAAAGGUAGCAUAAUCAUUAGUUUUUUAAUUGAAAGCUGGAAUGAAAGGUUUGAUGAGAAAAAAAUUGUCUCAAUUUAAUUUAUAAAAUUUUAUUUUUAAGUUAAAAAGCUUAAAUUUUUUUAAAAGACGAGAAGACCCUUUAGAGUUUAAUAUUUUAUUUUAUAUUAAUAAAUAUAAGAUUAUUAAUUUAAAAUUAGAUAAGAUAUUUUAUUGGGGCGAUAGAAAAAUUUAUUUAACUUUUUAUUUUUUUAAUCAUUUAUUUAUGUUUAUUUGAUCCUAUUUUUUAGAUUAUAAGAAAAAAUUACCUUAGGGAUAACAGCGUAAUUUUUUUUUAGAGUUCAUAUUAAAAAAAAAGAUUGCGACCUCGAUGUUGGAUUAAAAUUUAAUUUUGGUGUAGAAGCUAUAUAUUUAAGUCUGUUCGACUUUUAAAAUUUUACA
rnacentral:rRNA from 1 species